GUCCUCAGCGACGGACCG
rnacentral:snRNA from 1 species